rnacentral:lncRNA from 1 species
UAAACCUGAAGGUACUUGGUGUUCCACCUUUACUUGUUGACAAACUAAGCAUUUCGAUACAAACUUUGAGAUAUCUCUUUUUAUACCAUUCACCAAUACAUUUUCUUCAAGUCAUUAUACAUUUUUUCUCUGCCUGGGUGAACUGACAAACAACCGUUGUGCGACUCAUGUAAAAUAUUCCAAAUCAACUUAGUGUAUUUUGGAACACAAAUC